rnacentral:lncRNA from 1 species
CCCUCCCUCCCUGUCUCUGCCCACCCCAUCUUCUGUACCUGGUGGUGUACUCUCUGCAGCUACGAGUGCAGGUCACACAGAGCAGCCUGUAUGCUGCUGUCUCAGGACAGUCAGUGGCCUCUCCUCUGCAGACACUUUCAGGCUAAAGUCCCAUUUCAGAGAAAAUAUAAAAUCUUCUGAGGGUAGUAUCAGCUCCAGGGGACAAAGAAAUAUGUCCCUUCUCUCUCCCACUUCAGAUGGGGGAGAAAAAAAUGUCACAGUACUAGAGCAACUUUCUCCAAAGAAAUCCUCUCUCUCUCUCUGGGCCUCCACCUGCUACCCUUGUAGACCUCCAGGUGGGCAUUGGGAGGAAGGUCCUGACACUGUUUGGGGACCCCUUAUUGCCAGCUUUGCCAGGCCUGGCACACAGCUUCCCCUCCCCUGCCCAGUUAUUAGAUAUCUGUUAUGUUCAUGAUCAAAAGCCCAAGUGUUCCGUUAUAACAUCCUGCUGUGGUCACUAGAGUCAUGUUCAGCUAGAAGGUAUCCUUCAUGAAAAGUUCACUAGUUUUGCCACACAUCACUGUCAUCUGACAGUGUCACUUCUAUCGUUUAGAUUACAAAUAAAAGAGAGAGACUGAGGUAAGAUGUCUUCCCCAGAUGUCUUCUAUUUGAAACUGGCGUCUUGGAUUGAGGCCAGGCUCCAGGACUGGGUGUUCUUCCCUCCUUGAGUUCCUCAUUUUCUCAGCCUCCUCCAUCUUUUCAUUAUUUCCCUUUGCCUUUUUUAAUUUUUGCCGUGAAUUUGGUCUCAGACAAGC